rnacentral:rRNA from 1 species
AACGAGAGUUGAGAAGCUUGCUUCUUAACAAAAGUGGCGCACGGGUGAGUAACGCGUGGAUAACGUACCUAUUGGUUCAGGAUAACCUGCGGAAACGCGGGCUAAUACUGGAUAAGUUCCCUGGGGGCUCGCCCCCGGAGAAGAAAGCGGGGCAACUCGCGCCGAAUGAACGGUCCGCGUCCCAUCAGCUUGUUGGCGGGGUAAUGGCCCACCAAGGCUACGACGGGUAACUGGUCUGAGAGGACGACCAGUCACACUGGGACUGAGACACGGCCCAGACUCCUACGGGAGGCAGCAGUGGGGAAUAUUGGUCAAUGGGCGCAAGCCUGAUCCAGCCAUGCCGCGUGAGUGAAGAAGGCCUUCGGGUUGUAAAGCUCUUUUGCCAGGGACGAUAAUGACGGUACCUGGAGAAUAAGCCCCGGCAAACUUCGUGCCAGCAGCCGCCGCGG